CUCUCUGCCGACGCGAACCUCCCUUCCUUCUCUGUUCUCUCUCGCGGACAAGCGACGGCGACGGGAGCAAGGGUCUAGCUCCGGCGAUCGUCGAUCUCGACCCAGGGGAGCAGUCGCUAGCGCAGAUCCGGACGUGGGUGAUUUUCUCCAGCCCUAGCCGAGUCUGCCGAUCCUUUUCUUCCCCGAUCGACAUCACUGGAUUGAGUCGUGCCGCCCGAUCGCCGGCGUGGAAGAGCAAUUAGGGCUUCAAAGGAGGCGAGGUCCUGUUCUGUGGGG